GUAGGUGGCAAGCGUUGUCCGGAAUUAUUGGGCGUAAAGCGCGCGCAGGCGGUCCUUUAAGUCUGAUGUGAAAGCCCACGGGCUCAACCGUGGAGGGUCAUUGGAAACUGGGGGACUUGAGUACAGAAGAGGAAAGCGGAAUUCCUAGUGUAGCGGUGAAAUGCGUAGAGAUUUGGAGGAACACCAGUGGCGAAGGCGGCUUUCUGGUCUGUAACUGACGCUGAGGCGCGAAAGCGUGGGGAGCAAACAGGAUUAGAUACCCUGGUAGUCCACGCCGUAAACGAUGAGUGCUAAGUGUUAGGGGGUUUCCGCCCCUUAGUGCUGCAGCUAACGCAUUAAGCACUCCGCCUGGGGAGUACGGCCGCAAAGGCUGA
rnacentral:rRNA from 1 species